UACGGGGGGGGCAAGCGUUGUUCGGAACUACUGGGCGUAAAGGGCUCGUAGGCGGCCAACUAAGUCGGACGUGAAAUCCCCAGGCUCAACCUGGGAACUGCGUCCGAUACUGGAUGGCUUGAAUCCGGGAGAGGGAUGCAGAAUUCCAGGUGUAGCGGUGAAAUGCGUAGAUAUCUGGAGGAAUACCGGUGGCGAAGGCGGCAUCCUGGACCGGCAUUGACGCUGAGGAGCGAAAGCCAGGGGAGCAAACGGG
rnacentral:rRNA from 1 species